AGAAAACAUGACCUAAACUAAUAGCAUUGAUUAACAGUAUUAGAGCGGAAUAUUAGGUAAAUUAUAGCAGACAAGAAGCUGCGGACUGUCAAUUAAGCAGUGAAAUAAGCAGUGGAACAAGAGAAAAUUAGUUGGCCUCGCAAAGAACUUGCAGUGAUAGGUUGAGCUCCAGCCAUUAUUGCUAUCACCCAUUAGAACUUGCUCUUGUGUUCAGGCCUAUGGGAAAACUCGAAAUCUAUAUGCACAAAAGCUCGCUCAACUUCAGGUAAUUGCUCAAGCUUCUCUUGGAGAUCCUCACCGAUAUUAUGUGCUUGGUUCAAAACCAUGUCUUGUGGCAAGACUAUGUGAACCUCCGCAAAGUAAUGGCUACCGAAAGUGUAUGCCCUAACUGUGUCAAUGUGCUUGAUCUCUUUAUGGUGAUUCCAUAUCAGGUAUGUUAGCUUUGCUAGAAACUCAGGCGGGGCGGUUCUUCCAAUCAAAGACCAUACAUUCUUGAUGACUGUUCUGGUCCAUGUGGUGAUGGUAUACAACGCUAUCUGCGUAUUGGGUGAAGAAAUGAUCGAUAAUUCUUAAACCAAAGUCUUAAAUCCUAAUAGGAACCAAAUGAGAUUCUUAUUUACUAUCUAUCCUACAGUGCCCUGCUAAGGGCACCGAUAGGCAUUGCUAUCAGCUCAUUGAAAGGCCAAGCAAUUUUAACAAAAAUAGCAGAGCAUUUGAACAUAUUCUGCAGGACAUAAUAGGUGACAUGGAUUUAAUCAUAUCUACCCAGAAAGUUUUUUUUAAAAAAAAUGAAUAAAGCAAGAGAAGUUGAAGAGUGGUUAGACCAACUUGAAAUACAGCAGAAUAAAGAACUACAAGAAUUCACAGUUUAAGAAACUUACUAUAAUAGCUCCAGUAGGAUCGAUCCACCAGUAAUACCGGACUGCUAGGACGGCUGUUAUCAAACCAACUGAAUUGGUUACGACGUCAAAAAGAUGAUCUUGAGCAUAGGCUCUGACAAUUUCAUUCUUAAAUCUUCGACAAUAGAGCAUUAGCAGAAACUUCACUACCGUGACAGAAACCAUUAUGGCAGUCAUCCAUUUCUCCUGCCCCUUAUCCAUUCUAGGCCCUUUCUGCAUCAAAUAAAUAAAAAACUAUUCUGACAAUCGACGCAAUACUCGUGAAAUUUUCCCUGAAGGAAAUCUGUUCAAGUUUAAAUCUAAGAGAUCCUGGAGCCCAUCGACUAAAUAUUAAUAGCAAAAUAACCAAUCAGUUUUUCGGCUCAAUUCCAUAUGCGAUGACUUCCCUAACUUGACAACCUCCCUCCCUUUCCAAGACAGAGACAGUAGCAACUAAUGUGAUUAAACAAAGUUCAAAGCAUGAACAGAGUGGGUAUAUCAUUCAAAUUUCAAAGUUCAAAUUUUAUUUUUCACUGAAUUAUGGCCAAAAGUAUCAUAGCAUAUAAGAAAGUAAAAGCUGUUACUAGCAAGUGAUCUAAGUCUUUUCUCGAAUGUCUGAUCCGGAGAAUAAAAGUCAAAGGUGAAAAAGAGGUUAAAAUCCAAGUACGAGUCCAACAUUUCACUCCUAUUUAGUUCAUCCUUUUUGUCAGAUGAAAAUGAGUAAAUCGUAGUUGCAUACCUUCAAAAUGAGCUUCCGACCAGACUCAAGUAGAAUUUGCAACCCCAGUGUCGCCAUUACAGAUGCAAAGACAAUGAUGCCCUGCAUAAUCAAGCAUGAUUAUCAGACAUGUUGAAAUGAAGGAGAUCAAUAAUUUCAUAAUAAUUUGAGUUGGCAGGAUGUCCAGUUAUGCAAAAUUUGAAUUCCCAUUUGCUUUCACUUGGAGUUUAAUGCUGAUUAUUUCCAUUUCUUUGCUCCGUAUAUUCGUUAAUUUUCCCUGACAAAAACUAUGACAGUUUAUCCAUCUUGAAAACCCAAUUGGAUUGUGAUAUUAGCUAGUCUCUUGCAUCUUCUUAUCCUUGGAUAUAUCCAAGCAAGUGCUAUUGCCUGUAAUCAUUUUGAAAUUCUAUCGCAAUAAUUGAAGUACACCUUCCAUGGCCCUCUAUUGCUUUCUGUCACUGAAUAGAUUUUACUUUAGGAAUGUUUGUGUAACAUAACAGCACAUAGAGUGGAUAUAACAAUCCACUUACAGACCUCUUGAGAGAAUGAGAGAAGGAAAAAUAGAAGAUCAGAAGUCAUGUCUGCAAGGGAUCUGAUUCCAAACAAAUAAGUAUUAAGCUGAGUGACCAAGUAAAUGAACUAACUUACCACGGGCUGCAUCCGUUUCUUUCCAAUUGGAUAGUGGUGGUAAUGGUUUGGCUUUUUCAUGGCAUAGGAAGUGAACCACAAAAUAAAUCCCGACAAGAGAUCCAGUAGGGAGUCCAGAGUUGACGCAAUAACUGCCAAAGAUUUGCUCUCCAUAGAAGCAUAAACCUUUGCUGCAAAUAGUAGCAAGUUAGCUACAUUGGAAAUAUGAAUUGCCAGUCGCUCGCUCUUUGCCAGCUGCUUCAUUUCAUCCUGAAAAGAAGAAGGAUGCCUUUAGAUUGAAACUAUUAUAUCAUUAGCAAGAGUGGGGAGCAGAGGGGGGAAAAGAAGAUAGCAUCCUACCUCUGUCGGAUUUCCAGGGAAACAACCCGAUUCAGUCAUGGCCUCCAUCUCAUUAUACCCUUCAAGGAGCCUUUCUUGUUUCUUGUAGUAUUCAGAAACCUUGCGUUGCUUCCCUGAGGCCAAGCAUCGAAGAAAGAGAUGGGCAUAAAUUCUACAAUGUAGCACUAAAGAGACUGAAAUCACAAGCAAAUGGAAGAGUCCCAAUACAAUGAAAGAAGUUACAAGUAACUAAUGUCAUACAACUCGCUCCCUGUAUCUGUCAGGUAAAAUUUAUUCUUCAAGAAGUCUUAAGAAUCUACCAAAUAGAGUAGUAAAGUGCUAAAAAUCAAUGUAAACAGCUACGAACUCAUAAUCAGCUCAUUAUUUAAAUAACUCGGUGCUUAGCCCAUAAUGUAGGAAGACCUGGGGCUGGCCAAAACAUCAGCCACUGAUGCUUUGACCAGCCACAGUUUUGGCAUGAAUGCAAGGGAGUCUGGAUGAUGCAAAAGCACAAUAAUGGUUAUCUUUAUCAUGGUGACAGUAACCAUGCAAUCAGGAAGUUAAGCAUGGCAUGCUCUCAACUCAAAACCAUCUAUUUUACUAAUAAUGCUUUUUGCACCACAAUAUUGGACUCCUUGUUGUAAAUUAUCUAGCCACCGCAAACUAGAAUGAAUUAGUAAUUUUAAGUGCUGAAUGCAGCGUUAACACAAUUGAUCCAAUGAUAAAACAAUGUUGAUAACCUUCUCUCGUUGCUUUUCCAUUUAUAUAAAAGGAAAAGGACAGCCCCUAAUAAGGAAUUCCUAUUGCCAUCACCAACUUUGCAAAAGAGAAUCAAUGUCCAACCAGAAAAACCCAACACUUGAAUCUUGGAUAAGUCAUGGCAAUUGGCAACCCCACUAAUUACACACAUACCAAGCUAGAAUAAAUUCCAUAGAAUCAAAGGUCACCUCUCAUCUUUCCACUAAAUAAUUCGUGGACUAUGACUGCGAUGCCUAUGAGUUUCUCGAGGAAGACGGAACUUAUCAAUAUCUAAUCUACAUAAGGCCGGUGGAGGAAGCAAAUGAGUGUUAUCAUCUUCUGUUGUAUAAUCAGUGCCGCCGCCGCUCUCUCUAGCCAUGACUAGUGUCGCUUUGGUCACUUCUUCACAGCUUAUGUAUUGUUAGCGAUCGGUGUUUUUUGUUUUUUAUAAAGCAACUUAUGACUAUCUUUCCAGGCUUUAUGGAGUUGGAGACGUCUUUGGGGGGUGGGGGGGUUUGGGCGGUGUAUGCUGUAACCGCCUAUUCCUAAAUAUCCGGGUCUUGCUAAUUUUUGCAAAGAUAUUUGAUCUAACCCCUCUUAAUAAACAAAUGAAAAAUCAAUCUUAUUUUUCUUAUUAAAUUUAAAAAUUGCAUAUAUUUAUAUAUAUAAAAGCAAUCUAUAUAUCCACAUUUACAGGAUGUAUAUACUAGAUUUCAACUCAAAAUAUAAUUAGAAUCUUUCUAUUUUUUUUAACCUAUUGACCACGAAAAAUGAAGUCGAGAAUCGAGAUAGCUAUGAUAAAUUAAUUCCAUAGACUGAAAUUGCUAGCUAAUUAACUACAUGCCUCUCUCGUUGUAGUCCAUUAGUUUUGCGUUAAUUUCAGCAUUUUUUAAUUUCCCCUUUCUAUUGUCCACCUUGAAUAAUUCACAGGAGGUCAUAUUCUCAUCUAAGCUUUACAGGGACGGAUCACAGCAGGUAUAUCCAUGCAUAUAUACAUAAAUGGAAUACAUGUAUUUAAGAUCAUCCUAAUUAGAGAAUGCAGAUCUCUCACAGCUUGCAACUACAUAGGUUGCCACGAGCUUCCUUUUAACAUAAUAAAAGUCUCGUAAAGGUAAUCGCCAAAAAAAAAUCGAUAAAAAAAAAAAGAGAAAAUUGUUGAUGUAUUGUCUAGUGUAUGAAAUUUUAAACAAAAUUUAAAAAUGUAUUUGUUUUUUUUAAAAUACUGAGACAAAAAUAUAUAACAUUAAUAUGAGUCAACGAAUUAAAUACGCAAUCUAAACCAUGUAACAUAGACAAUAUCAAUCUCUUUUAUUAUUAUUAUUAUUAUUAUUAUUAUUAUUAUUAUUAUUAUUCGAACACCAUACAACAUAUUCAUAGCUUAACCAUAUCAGAGGUCUAUGACUUCAUAAAACAUGAAUUUUUAAAAAAAAAUUAAUAAUAAAAAAUAUUUUAAGAUUGAAACUAAGUUAUUUUUUCAAACAGUGUAUUUAGAAGAAUAGAUUUUUUAAAAAAAAUAUUGAACUCAAGAGUCCAACUUAGUAAAUUAAAGAAAGAAACAAACAAACAACAAAAAAAAUUAACUGAUUUUUUUUAUUUAAUUUUUAUGAAAAAUGAUUACACAUGGACAAAAGAAGAUAAUGGGAACUACUUAAUUCACUACUUUCCAGCGAAAGAGAAAAAAAACAUCUCCUGUUCAGAUUUUUUUUUCUUAUCAAUAUUUUGAGAAUUGCUGGUUAAUUGCUGUGCGUGGGGGUAUAUUUCUGGCUUUUCCACUCUCUAUAAUUUCUCUAACGAGUUAUCGUCAGAAUCAACUUCGCAACUUCUAGAAUUAUACACAGUUUGAUUCUCUUUUACCCUCCUCAUCUGUAUGUACUUAACGAGUAAAUUAAUUAUAAACCAGUCCCUUCAAUUUUGUAAAACAAAAUAAAUAGUUUUUAACCUUUUGAAACUAAUUGAUUGACUAAUGUUGAUUGUGUUUGAUUUAAUAUUACUUUGUUAGAUCUUUUUUCUUUCAUGUUAUUUACGUCUUCUUUUCUUUUUCUAUUUAUUAAAAUAAAAAACAAAAUAAAUUGAAAAAGAAUAAGAAAUUGAUGACAGGGAAUAUCAAUUAGUUUUUAAGACUAGAGGGGCUAUUUAACUUGUUUUGAAAUAGAAAACUAAUUUAUAAUUUAACCACCACUUAAUUACCAACAAGGAAUUUAAAGCUGAGUAUAGAAAGUAAGAAACAAAAAACAAAAGAAAAGGAAAAGAUUAAGGCAGCGAAGAGAACUGAAAUGAGGCAGAUACGGUCAAGGCAGCAAGAUCAAGGAGAAGAUCGAGGCAAGGAAUGCAUUACUUGAUGAUGUACGCAGGAAAGAGGACCAAGUUUGACGACCAUGAUCAGUACUGUCUCGCUUUUCUAUGCGAAAACUGUCGAGACUGAGUCGCCAUGACAAGGGGUCCUCUUCUACCGCUGAUUUUGCAAAUGGAAGAGUCUUUUUGUGAUCGCUCUGGUCUCCUUCCAUGUAACUUUUUUGCCAGGAGAGAAAAAUGAAAAUGGUGAUGGCUGUAACUUGUGCAGAUUCUACGCAUUCAAGAAUCCCCACAACCGCCUCCUUGUUAUAGGAAAAGGCCGAGCUGCACGUGGCUUCCUUUUCUUUUUCCAAAAUGAAGCCCGCUUCUUUAAACAUGGAUUCGGCAUUUUAUUGAAAUCAAUUUUAUUCCUUGCUUAGAGUCUUCUAUAAUCAGUUCCUGUAAUAAAAGAAUGUGGGGCAGAGACGAGAUCAUUGGAUGAAGGUUGAGUAGAUUAUUACGAGGUAGAUGUCAUCUUGUUUGUAGUUUUAACUGUGAGCUGUGACUUUUGUGGCAAGCAUACUGUGAAAUAUGGAUAAUAUUCAUAUACAUUGCAAGCGAUCAUCUAAAAAGAAAAUCAGCAAAAAAAAUAUCCUGUAUUCAACAUUCAUUAACAAAAACUUUAAAAAAUUAGCUUCAAAUUUUGAUUCGGUUGUUUGAUUUUAUAGCUGUAAAUCUUGAAGUAAACAACGAAAGAAAUUAAAUUUCUAUAAAUAUACUAGAGGAAACUACAUGUAUUGAGUUGUGUGUAUUGUUUCCAAAAUAUUGAUUAAAAAAAAGUUAUUUAGUUCAGAAAAUUAAAGGAGACUUUAUGCUCAGUUUUCCACCACCUAGGCUGCCAGAAACUAGACAAGUAAACGAUGAGUUGUCUGCAUCAAUAAAUAAUAUGUUGUCUAUGUAAUUGUUUUUUUUUUAAAAAAAAAAACCUUAGAAAAAAUAAAAAGAGGGGGGGGGCUGAUGCUUUUAUGUAUUUUUGUUUACAAAACUCAAAAACAAAUAAUUAUCUUGUUGGUUUACUUAUUUUUUUUUAUUUUUACAUGGUUCUUAAAUAACACUAUAAAUUUUAAUUUUAAUAUUUUAUUUUUCAAUUAUUAUGUAUGUAAUAUGAAAAUAAUAAUACUAAUAAUAAAUUACUCAUGAAAAUUCAAAAGCAAUAUAUACAUUUUAAAAUGGAAUCACUAUUUACGUUAGAAUAUAAUUAUCGUGAUCGAAUUGGAUGGCACUAACAUCGUAGCUACUCUCAUUCAACAGGAUGUAGACAACAAAGUCUGAUUCGGAAAAACAAUUAAACAUAUCGAAUUUAAUUAGUGCAAGAAAUGCAUGAUCUGAGGAAAUCUACAAUCUCCAUUGCUAAAGAAAAAGGUAGGAUAUCAUUGUCUUUCUUGCAAAACGAUUAAACAUAGAACGCACUAAAAAGGUGCUCAAAUCACUUCUAAAAAUACGGUGCAGUGUGUUUAAUUAUUUUGAGUUGAAAACAAAAAUCUCUCAAGCUAUUCAAACGUUUUCAGCUGUCGUCUUAUGCUAUCGUCAGAAGAGCAGUGGCCACAGGGACGCACUUGUCAAGAUCAAAGAACAAGAUUCUGAUUGUUGCUGAAUAUGUGCUUCAAGGUGAUUGCACCCAUUUUGAUGGACGGCACAGGUAGCAGAAUCAUGUUAGACUUGGUUUUGCCGUAACUUUCAUUGUUGUUGUUUGAGAAGAUAGGUUUGAAAAAACAUAAUUUUAUUUGUGGUUUUAAAAAGGUAUUUAAAAAAAAAUAUUUUUUUUUUAAAAUUGCUAUAAUAUGAAUUUUUAUAUGUAAAAUAAAUAAAAAAUAGGUUUCUGUGAAUAAAAUACAUAUUAUUUUAGGUUCUAUAAAACAAAAAUUUAACACGGAAUUAUAUGUGAGACUUGAUGCAAAAGAUAUAAACUAUUUGAUCUACAAAAUAAUUUUUUCUUAGGGUUGUGCAAAAACAAAAGUUACCUUAAUAUCAAAUAAAACCUUAAGCAAUUAUCAAAAUGUAAUUUAGCAACAUGUACCGUAAUAAUGAAUCGGAAUUGUCAUGCUUUAUAGCAUAAUUUUUAGACCCAUUUUGGUGAUCGGUAUGGUUCAUGAUUCAGAUUUUGGAUUUUAACCGGUCGUCCGGAGAGAAUUGAAAAGCAGUAGCUUUUCAACUAAACCCAUCCUAGAUUCCUAGAACAACAGUUGGACUGUUUAGGUUGGUAAAAAAGGACUCAGCAAACUCAUAGACAGGCUUUCUGCUCCGAGAAACUAUCAUUCGGCAUCCAGAUCCCCGAGUAGUCUCAUGUCCACUAUCAGAAAGUAAGGAAAAUAAAGCUCUAGGGGACAACGCGAUAGCUGGAUGCUUCAAUUUCCUGAUCGAUAUCAGUCCUUUUUAAAUAUGCUUUUCUUUAUAAAAAAAAUCCCAGCAAGAAAUCAUGUGUUGAAAUAGACUAAAACCCGCAGUAUAAAUUAUUUUUCAAUUAACAAAACAGAGUUCAAUGGUAUGAAUUGCUUAUAAAAGUUGAAAUAUAUCCGAACACACCUAACUUUUAUCAACCUUUCAUGUAAAUAACAAGCAGUACCAUGUCAAGCAAAGAAGAGUUCAAGAUGUCUAAAAAAAAUCAGUGAAAAAGGAAGAAAGGGGUCUUUUUUCUUUAUGAAGUCGUUCAAAACAAACAAUUGACAAGGAAUUGAUGAGAGGGUACCAUAGAAAUGAUGGCCUGCUCGUUGUGCUGUGAAGGCAGAUCUUAUGAAGGCAUAUGACUCGGUUAGAUGGGAUUUCAUUAAUGCUAUGCUGAUCAGAAUGAGUUUCCCUGAACAAGUAGUUGGAUGGAUCAUGGUUUGUUUUACCACAUUUCAAUUCUGUAUAAAUGUUAACGGUGAACAUGCAGGCUAUUUUCAAGGGGGAAGGGGGCUGAGACAAGGCGGAGUUCAAGUCUCACUGGAGGUGCCAAAAGAAUAGGAUUUUUCCCACCUUUGUUUAGCCGAUGACUAGAUGAUCUUCAGCAAAGGGGAAGUCAAUUCUGUUUGUGUGAUUCAUAAUGUGCUUUUGGAAUUUCCUCGAACCCAGACAAGAGUGGCAUUUACCCAAGUGGAAUACCAGAUGGCAUUAGAGAGCAGAUUGUUCACAUAAGAGGGUCCCUCUUAUCUCCUCAAGACUCGAGGUUGUUCAUUGUAAAACCCUUGUUGAUCAAGUCACUGCUAGAAUUCAGCACUAGACAUAUAGAUCGCUUUCAUAUGCUGUACGAGUGCACCUGAUAAACUCAAUUUUAUUCUCCUUUCAGGUUUAUUGGGCCUUUCUAUUAUUUUUACCUGGAAAAGUGGUUAAAAGAACAGAGCAAAUUUUAAGAUCCUUGUGUGGUCUGGUACGGUCCGUACGGAUCUGAUAACUAGUGGGGCUGAAGGGGCACAAGAGCAUGUAUGUUUUUCAAAAAACGAGAAGUUUAGGGAUAAAAAGGAUAACAAAAUGGAACAAGAUUGCAUUAUUGUAGCACGCACUAACUUGAAACAAAAAUAAAAUAAUCUAGAAAAUGAUUUUUUUUUUUUUAUUAUUAAAAAAAAUAUAAAUCAAAUAUGAUAUUUUAUGAGACUAAAUGCUUCCUAUUAACUAGUUUCUAAUGAUAAUCAAAUAUAUAAAAGUUUAAAAAUAGUUUUCAGAAAAACAUUUUUCAUGAUAAUCUUUCCAUUUCAUUACAUAAUUAUUCCUUGUAAAGUGAAUUCAACAAACAUGAAAAUGUUUCAAGGGAUAUAGAUUACUAAUUUAUGGCAAGAGACUAAUUAUACCAGUGAUACAAUGUUGUUCUAUCACCCUUUAGAACUUGCUCUUGUGUUCAGGCCUAUGGGAAAACUCGAAAUCUAUAUGCACAAAAGCUCGCUCAACUUCAGGUAGCUGCUCAAGCUUCUCUUGGAGAUCCUCGCCAAUAUUAUGUGCUUGGUUCAAAACCAUGUCUUCUGGCAAGACUAUGUCAACCUCCGCAAAGUAAUGGUUACCGAAAGUGUAUGCCCUAACCGUGUCAAUGUGCUUGAUCUCUUUAUGGUGAUUCCAUAUCAGGUAUGUUAGCUUUGCUAGAAACUCAGGCGGGGCAGUUCUUCCAAUCAAAGACCAUACAUUCUCGAUGACUGUUCUGGACCAUGUGGUGAUGGUAUACAACGCUAUCUGCGUAUUGGGUGAAGAAAUGAUUGAUAAUUCUAAAGCCAAAGUCUUAAAUCCUAAUAGGAAACAAAUGAGAUUCUUAUUUACUAUCUAUCCUACAGUGCCCUGCUAAGGGCACCGAUAGGCAUUGCUAUCAGCUCAUUGAAAGGCCAAGCAAUUUUAACAAAAAUAGCACAGGGCAUUUGAACAUAUUCUGCAGGACAUAAUAGGUGACAUGGAUUUCAUCAUGUCUACCCAGAUAGUUUUUUCUAAAAAAAAAAAUGAAUAAAGCAAGAGAAGUUGAAGAGUGGUUAAUCCAACUCGAAAUACAGCAGAAUAAAGAACUACGAGAAUUCACAGUUUAAGAAACUUACUAUAAUAGCUCCAGUAGGAUCGAUCCACCAGUAAUAUCGGAUAGCUAGAACGGCUGUUAUCAAACCAACUGAAUUUGUUACGACGUCAAAAAGAUGAUCUUGAGCAUAGGCUCUGACAAUUUCAUUCUUAAAUCUUCGACAAUAGAGCAUUAGCAGAAACUUCACUACCGUGACAGAAACCAUUAUGGCAAUCAUCCAUUUCUCCUGCCCCUUGUCCAUUCUAGGCCCUUUCUGCAUCAAAUAAAUAAAAACUAUUCUAAGCCUGCUCAAAAGAGCGGUAAAGAUGACAGGAAGCUUCACAUAGGAAAUUAGGCUACUUAAAGUAAGGAAUGACUUUGUUUGAGUCCGUUAUAUUCUCUCAUUGAGUGCAGAACAUAGUAGUAGGACAAUCGACGCAAUACUCAUGAAAUUUUUCCUGAAGGAAAUCUGUUCAGUUUAAAUCUAAGAGAUCCUGGAGCCCAUCGACUAAAUAUUAACAGAAAAAUAACCAAUCAGUUUUUCAGCUCAAUUCCAUGUGCGAUGACUUCCCUAACUUGACAAUCUCCCUCCCUUCCCAAGACAGAGACAGUGGCAACUAAUGUGAUUAAACAAAGUUCAAAGCAUGAACAGAGUGGGUAUAUCAUUCAAAUUUUAUAGUUUAAAUUUUCUUUUUAACUGAAUUAUGGCCAAAAGUAUCAUAGCAUAUAAGAAAGUAAAGCUGUUACUAGCAAGUGAUCUAAAUCUUUUCUCGAAUGUUGAUCCGGAGAAUAAAAGUCAAAGGUGAAAAAGAGGUUAAAAUCCAAGUACGAGUCCAACAUUGCACUACUAUUUAGUUCAUCCUUUUUCUCAGAUGAAAAAUGAGUAAAUCAUAGUUGCGUACCUUUAAAUGAGCUGCCGACCAGACUCAAGUAGAAUUUGCAACCCCAGUGUCGCCAUUACAGAUGCAAAGACAAUGAUGCCCUGCAUAAUCAAGCGAUUAUCAGACAUGUUGAAAUGAAGGAAAUCGAUAAUUUCAUAAUUUGAGUUGGUAGGUGUCCUGUUACGAAAUUUGAUUCCCAUUUGCUUUCACUUGGAGUGUAAUGCUGUAUUCCCAUUUCUUUGCUCCGUAUAUUCGUUAAUUUCCCUGACAAAAACAAUUACAGUUUAUCCAUCUUGAAACCCAAUUGGAUUGUGAUAUUAGCUACUCUUGCAUCUUCUUAUCCUUGGAUAUAUCCAAGCAAGCGCUAUUGCCUGUAAUCAUUUGAAAUUCUAUCGCAAUAAUUGAAGUACACCUUCCAUGGCCCUCUAUUGCUUUCUGUCACUGAAUAGAUUUUACUUUAGAAUUGUGUAACAUAACAGCAUAGAGUGGAUAUAGCAAUCCACUUACAGACCUCUUGAGAGAUGAGAAGGAAAUAGAAGAUCAAGUCAUGUCUGCAACGGAUCUGAUUCCGAACAAACAAGUAUUAAGCUGAGUGACCAAGUAAAUGCACUAACUCACCACGGCUGCAUCCGUUUCUUUCCAAUUGGAUAGCGGUGGUAAUGGUUUGGCUUUUUCAUGGCAUGGGAAGUGAACCACAAAAUAAAUCCCGACAAGAGAUCCAGUAGGGGUCCAGAGUUGACGCAACUGCCAAAGAUUUGCUCUCCAUAGAAGCAUAAACCUUUGCUGCAAAUAGUAGCAAGUUAGCUACAUUGGAAUAUGAAUUGCCAGUCGCUCGCUCUUUGCCAGCUGCUUCAUUUCAUCCUGAAAAGAAGAAGGAUGCCUUUAGAUUGAACUAUUAUAUCAUUAGCAAGAGUGGGAGCAGAGGGGGAAAGAAGAUAGCAUCCUACCUCAGUCGGAUUUCCAGGGAAACAACCCGAUUCAGUCAUGGCCUCCAUCUCAUUAUACCCUUCAAGGAGCCUUUCUUGUUUCUUGUAGUAUUCAGAAACCUUGCGUUGCUUCCCUGAGGCCAAGCAUCGAAGAAAGAGAUGGCAUAAAUUCUACAAUGUAGCACUAAAGAGACUGAAAUCACAAGCAAAUGGAAGUGUCCCAAUACAAUGAAAGAAGUUACAAGUAACUAAUGUCAUACUACUCGCUCCCUGUAUCUGUCAGGUAAAAUUUAUUCUUCAAGAAGUCUUAGGAAUCUACCAAAUAGAGUAGUAAAUUGCUAAAAAUCAAUGUGAACAGCUACGAACUCUAUAAUCAGAUCAUUAUUUAAAUAACUCGGUGUUUAGCCCAUAAUGUAGGGGCUGGCCAAAACAUCAGCCACUGAUGCUUUGACCAGCCACAGUUUUGGCAUGAAUGCAAGGGAGUCUGGAUGAUGCAAAAGCACAAUAAUGGUUAUCUUUAUCAUGGUGACAAUAAACAUGCAAUCAGGAGGUUAAGGAUGGCUUCCUCCACCGGCCUCAUGGAGAAAAGAGAUCGAGAGAGGAAAUUAAAUAGUGAGUACUUGAAGUAGGGAGGAGACGUCCAGGGAGAAAGAAGAGACCCGAUCAUGACUGCGAUGCCUAUGAGUUUCUCGAGGAAGACGGAACUUAUCAAUAUCUAAUCUCCAUGAGGCCGGUGGGAAGCAAAUGAGAGUUAUCAUCUUCUGUUGUGUAAUCAGUGCCGCCGCCGCCGCUCUCACUAGCCAUGACUAGUGUCGCUUUGGUCACUUCUUCACAGCUUAUGUAUUGGUAGCGAUCGGUGUUUUUUUUUUUUUUAAGGAACUUGUGGCUAUCUUUUCAGGCUUUAUGGAGUUGUAGUCGUCUGGGGGGGGGGGUUGGUUUGGGCGGUGCAUGCUGUAACUGCCUAUUCCUAAAUAUCUGGGUCUUGCUAAUUUUUGCAAAGAUAUUUAAAAGAGUGAUUGUUUUUGUGUUUUAAUUUAAUUUUGAAAAUAUUUUUUCUUAUGUAUUAGUAUUACUGUUAAAAAAAAAUUAAAAAAUAUUUAUUUUAAUGUAUUUUCAAUUAAAAAAUACUUAUGAAAACAUGACAUUACUAAGCACGUACAAAUAUUUGAUGUUACCUUUCUUAAUAAACAAAUGAAAAAUCAAUCUUAUUUUUCUUAUUAAAUUUAAAAAAUUGCAUAUAUUUAUAUAUAUAAAAGUAAUUUAUACAUCCACAUUUACAGGAUGUAUUUACUAGAUUUCAACUCAAAAUAUAAUUACAAUCUUUCUAUUUGUUUUAACCUAAUGACCAGGAAAAAUGAAGUCGAGAUAGCUAUGAUAAAUUAAUUCAAUAGACUGAAAUUGCUAGCUAAUUAACUACAUGCCUCUCUCGUUGUAGUCCAUUAGUUUUGCGUAAUUUCAGCAUUUUUUAAUUUCCCCUUUCUCUUGUCCACCUUGCAUAAUUCACAGGAGGUCAUUUUCUCAUCUAAGCUUAACAGGGACGGAUCAUAGAAUUAUAUAUAGACCACUGAUCACAGUAGGUAUAUCCAUGCAUAUAUACAUAAAUAUUGGAAUACAUGUAUAUAAGAUCAUCCCAUGUAGCAAGAAAUUAAUAUUGAAAAUCUUAAUUACACCACAAUCAUAGAAUUAUAUAUGCACUUCAUUCAUUGAAGAUGGGAUGACGGCCAAUCUUGAAUAUUCGUACAUUUCAAGUGCUAAUAUCCUAAUUAGAGAAUGCAGAUCUCUUACAGCUUACAUAGGUUGCCACGAGCUUCCUUUUAACGCCUAAUAAAAGUUCCGUAAAGGUAAUCGCUAAACACAAAUCGAUAAAAAAAAGAGAGAAAGAAUUGUUGAUGUAUUGUCUAGCUGUAAGAAAUUUUAAACAAAAAUUAAAAUGCAUUUGUUUUUGUUUUUUAAACACUGAGACAAAAAUAUAUAACAUUGAUAUGAGUCAACGAGUUAAAUACGCAACCUAUUUAUGUAAUCGCUGAGAAUUGCUGGUUAAUUGCUUUGCGUGAGGUUAUAUUUCUGGCUUUUCCACUCUCUAUAAUUUCUCUAACGAGUUAUCGUCAGAAUCAACUUCUAGAAAUAUACACAGUUUGAUUCUCUUUUACCCUCCUCAUCUGUAAUUAGCUGAAAGUACCUAACGAGUAAAUUAUAAACCAGUCCCUUUAAUUUUGUAAAGCAAAAUGAAUAGUUUUUACCUUUUGAAACUAAUUGAUUGACUAAUGUUGAUUAUGUUUAAUUUAUUACGUACAUUGUUCGAUUUUUUUCUUUCGUGUUAUUUACUUCUUUUUUUCUUCUAUUUAUUAAAAUAAAAAACAAAAUAAAUUGAAAAGGAAUAAGAAAUUGAUGGCAGAGACUAUCAAUUAGUUUUUAAAACUAGAGGGGCUAUUUAAUUUGUUGUGAACUAGAAAACUAAUUUAUAAUUUAACCACCACUUAAUACCAACAAGGAAUUUAAAGCUGGGUAUAGAAAGUAAGAAACAAAAAACAAAAGAAAAGGAAAAGAUUAAGGCAACGAAGAGAACUGAAAUGAGGCAGAUGCGGUCAAGGCAGCAAGAUCAAGGAGAAGAUCGAGGCAAGGAAUGCAUUACUUGAUGAUGUACGCAGGAAAGAGGACCAAGUUUGACGACCACGAUCUGUACUGUCUUGAUUUUCCAUGCGAAAACUGUCGAGACUGAGUCGCCAUGACAAUGGGUCCUCUUCUACCGAUGAUUUUGCAAAUGGAAGAGCCUCGGCACUAUAAUCUUCUGUGACAUUCUUUUUGUAAUCACUCUGAUCUCCUUCCAUGUAACUUUUUUGCCGAGAGAGAACAAUGAAAAUGUUGAUGGCUGUCACUUGCGCAGAUUCUACUGAUUCUAAAAUCCCCAAAACCGCCUCCUUGUUAUAGGAAAAGGCCGAGCUACACGUGGCUUCUUUUUCUUUUUCCAAAAUGAAGCCCGCUCCUUUCGGCAAUUUCGUGAGCGGUACCAAUACAAGGACAGCGAAAUGUUUUACCUGAAAAUUUCCCUGGUGGUUCAAAAUCUUUUAUGGGUUUUAUCGAAAACAACAAAAUCUUUUUGGGUCCAAUAUGGUCCUGAAUUUCCCUAGCUUCCCGGCGACGGAAUUAACAAAGGGUGAUGGAGGAGAAUAUGUACUUGCUGUGCAGUUCAACAAUUACUGAAGGUGCGUUUGUUUUCUAAAAAAAUAUUUUUAAAAAAUUAAUUUUUAAAAUUUUCUUUGUUUAUUUAUUAUUAAGAAAAAUUUUCAAUGAAAAACACUUUUUGAUUAAUAAAAAAUAUUUUCCGGUCAAAGAAAAAUUUAGCUUGGUUUUUUUAAAAAAUAUUUUUUUUUUAUUUUGAGCGAAAAACAUUUUUUAAAAAUUGUGAAAAAUUUAGAAAUAUUAUAUUAUUUAUUGAUGAUAUCAAAUUUGAUCCUUAAAUUUUUGAUUAUUAUAUAACAAAAUAUUUGUUUUUUAAUUUCAUCUAUUAUAAUUUAAUUUUUAUAUUAACUUUAGUCUUUAUUUUUAUUUUGCUUUUCCCUUAUUGUUUUUUAAUUGAAAUUUUUUAUCUAUCAAAUUUGGUUCUCAUUCUUUUAAUUGUUACUUAUUUUAUUUGAAAUAAUUUAUGAAAUGUCAAUUAUUAUUAUUUUAAUUUCUUCAUCUUUCAUUUUUUUUAUUUUUUAUUUGAUCUCUAUUAUUUUUAUUUUUAUUUAUUUUAUUUGAGAUAAUUUGUGAAAUUAUAUUUUUUUUUCAAUUUCAUUUUCAUUCAACUUUUUAAUUUGUAAGAUUUGUUCCUCACUAUUUUAAUAAAAUUAAAAAAAUAAAAUAUUAAUAAGUUAUUUUCCAGCUCAUUUUCCAUCACAUAACAAAAUACUAGAAAGUAUUUUCUAACUUAUUUUUCAUUACACUACCAAACAUUGAAAAAUAAUUUAUUUCUUUGAAAUUUAAUUUCUAAAAAGAAACUACUUUCCAGCAAAUAAACAGAAAAAAUUAAAAAAAAUAAAUAUAUAAAAAAUUUAAUUUUAAACAAAAAAAUUCAAAUUUUAUCCAAGUCAUUUAGAAUGCAAUAGCAUACAGGGCAUUAGUUACUUAAAGACAAUGCAAGGGAUCAUUUUGCAAUUGCUACUGCCCUAUGAGCCAUUAAUCGGCCGACAAUGUAAGAUCACUGGGAACAUGUGCAUAAAGGCAGAAUAACUUAUCAUUGAAAUCAAUUUUAUUCCUUGCAUAGUGUCUUCUAUAAUCAGUUCUUGUAAUAAAUUAACUGUUCUUCUAUCCUAGCUCUCAGUCAUAUUACCUUAAAAAAAAACAUAAAAGAGCGUGGGGCAUAGACGAAAUCCUAGCAAUUUUAACUGUGAGCUGUGACUCGUGGCAAGCAUGCUGUGAAAUAUGGACCAUAUUCAUAUACAUUGCAAGCGAUCAACUAAAAAGAAAAUCAGCAAAAAAAAUAUCCUGUAUUCAACAUUAAUUAAUAAAAACUUUAAAGAAUUUACUUGGUGGGUAAAAUUUUUGCUCGAUUGUUUGAUUUUAUAGCUGUCAAUCUUGAAGUAAACACCGGAAGAAAUUAAAUUUCUCUAAAUGCACAGAGGAAACUACAUGCAUAUCAUUAAAAAAUAAUGUUAUAAAAAUACUCUUAUCAUGGAAUUAAAAAAAACAUUAAUUAAAAGACAUGUUUUUUCAGCAACUAUCACCAUGAAACACACACACACACACGCCCACAUACAUACAUACAUACAUAUAUGUAUGUAUGUAUAUAUAUAUAUAUCAUGUGGCCUGUAAAGUUACAUACAUAUAUACAAAUUUUGUAUGUGCUGCACAUUGCAAGCAACUCCCUUUGGUUUUGGAGUUCAGAGAAAUAAAAUUCAUUUACAUACCUAUAGUCACUAGGCAACUUCAAAUGUGUAGGUUCUAAGCUUGAAAUAGCUUGUUUAUCUAAUUUGUUGAAGGAAUUACCUACAACUCUAAAAGAUUUGAGAUUCCUUGAAUAAUGAGGCACCCCCCCCCCCAAUUCAAUCACAUCAUUCAGUGGCCUGAUUAGAUUUGAAUUAAUAUUGAAAUUAUGUACAAGUACUAUAUCAAAAGUAAAGGAUUAAAUUCUUAAGCACAAAGAACUAUAGGUUUGGUCCAAUUUUUUUUCCGGUGUUUAUUUUGAACCAUAAGUUUAUUUUAUUUAAUUUUUGUUUCUUAUAUGAAAAAAAGACUUACUGAAAAAUGAUAAUAGAAAGAAAGUGAUUAAUUACCACAAUUCCUACCACGAAAAAAAUUAAGUUUGGUGCAUAUAUGUUUCAUGCAUCAAGAGAGUUGGAAGGUGUUGGUUAUUGGCCUUCAAGUUAGCCGGAAAAAUAGAUCAAGGCUUUGAAAGAUUUGAGAUUUUUAGUUGAUUUUUUCUUAUUUUUUGACUAAUUUUGGUAACUUUUAGGGCACAAGUGGUUUCAUCGAGUUGUGUAUGUUUUUUUCCAUGUGUUUACGGAUAAAAAAUUAGUUAAAAAUGGAUUAUUUAAUCCAAAAAAUUUAAAAAGAGUUUAUGCCCAGUUUUCGACCACCUGAGCUAUCAUAAAUUGGGCAAGUGAAUAACGAGCUGUUUACAUCAAUAAAUGACACAUUGUCUGUGUAAUUUUUGUUCAAAAAGACCCCCUUAGAAAAAUAAAAAGAGUGGUCAAACUUGCAGACCCAGUAUUAGGGGGUCAGCAUUGGGCUUGAUUUUUUUAUGUUUUGUUUUUCAAAACUCGAAAAUAAAUAAUUAUCAUGUUGAUUUAUUUAUUCUUUCAUUUUUACAUGAUUCUUAAAUAACAUUAUAAAUUUUAAUUCUAAUAAUUUAUUUUUCAAUUAUUAUGUAUAUAAUAAGAAAAUAACAAUACUAAUAAUAAAUUGCUCAUGAAAAUUCAAAAGUAAUAUAUUCAUAUUAAAAUGGAAUCAUUGUUUAUGUUAAAAUAUAAUCGGGUAAGUAAAAUUCUAUUUUUUAUUGCUUCUUCGCCCCUAUAAAGGAAAAAAAAAAAAACUCAAGUAUACAAAAUUGACUAGUGUGUUUUUGGGUGGGAGGCGUGGUGGUUUUUUUUAAGGUAUAACCAUUUUAAAGCACAAACCACACAUCUUCAAAGCAAAAAUAUACAUGUUUUUUAAUAAAAAAAAGAGUCACCACACUUCCCACCCAAACACUAUCUAAAGCCUACUUGUCCGGGCCAUUCAAGGCUUGGCCAAUGGGGCAUGCAGCCGUGCCAGUGGACUUCUUUGUAUUUUUGGCUCUUUGUUUUUAUUUUUGUGGUGUUUUUUUUUAUUUUAUAUUGUAGUGUCUACUUAAUAAUUUGUUUUGUUUCUUUAAUUUUAUCAUUUGAUUUCAAUUGCUUUUUUUAAUUGUAUAGUAAAAUAAAAUAAAAAUUAAUUGAUCCUUGUAAAAUUCAUGAAUUGGUUUAUAAAGUUGACAACUAACUCGGAUUAAUCCAAAAUGUUUUGCUUUUUGUUUCUUUGAUUUUAUACCCCUUGAAUCUAUCGAGUUGACGGGGUUGUGCAGGUGUGACUUUCGCACAAUUGAAUUUCAAACCCGAAAAAAGUAUAGAAUUAGGUUGUGAGAACUUAAGUUGAACCGUAGUAAUGUCAAAAAGAAAAGUUUCAUACGGGCUAGAUACAAUUUUGUUAUUUAUGAAAAGAAAUCCUGCCUGCAGCAUUGCGCGGGGAAUAAAGCUAGCCACGUGAUAAAACUAGUUAGCAAUAUUCUCAUCGUUAUCAAUAAUCUCAUCGUUAUCUUCUCACAGGGCCGAAGUGUCGUGUUGGAAGCUAUUAUUCUUGUUUUGGUCUCACCUACUUUUUGCCUGCGGGCAUUUCUUCCAUACUUAUCGCGAUCGUAUUGGAUGACAGUAGGGUGGGAGAAACAUCCCGGCUAAAGAAAAAAGUAGGAUAUCAUUAUCUUUCCUGCAAAACGAUUAAAGAGAGAACGCACUAAAAAGGUGCUCAAAUCACCUUUUAAAAUAAGGUGCGGUGCGUUUAAUUAAUUUGAGUUGAAAACAAAAAUAUCUCAAGCUAUCCAAACGUUUCAGGUGUCGUCUUAUGCUAUCAUCAGAAUUCAGAAGAGCAGUGGCUACAGGGACGCACUUGUUAAGAUCAAAGAACAAGAUAUUUAUACAAUACGUACUGCAGUCAACAAAAUUCUGAUACUGUCCGUACGGAUAUAAUAACUAGUGGGGCUAAAGUGGCACAAUAACAUGCAUGUUUCCAGAAAACGAGAAGAGUUUAGGGAUAAAGAGGAUAACAAAAUGAAACAAGACUGUAUUAUUGAAGCACAUCUGCGUCUAUGCACUAACUCGAAACAAAAAUGAAAUAAUCUAGAAAAUAAUUUAUUUUUUCAAGUUUAUUAAAAAAAUAUAAAUUAAAUAUGAUAUUUUAUGAGACUAAAUGCUUCCUAUUAACUAGUUUUUAAUAGUAAACAAAUAUAUAAAAGUUUAGAAAUAGUUUUCAGAAAAAUAUUUUUUAUGAUAAUUUUUCCAUUUCAUUAGAUAAUUAUUUCUUAUAAAGUGAAUUUAUCAAACAUGAAAAUGUUUCAAGGGAUAAAGAUUACUAAUUUAUGGCAAGACUCUAAAUAUACCAGUGAUACAAUGUUGUUCUAGUAAGUAAAGAAGGGAUACGAUGUUGGCAAAACAAAUAGAAUUGUAAUGGUUUUAAGAGAUAAGAUAAUAUUUAUUUAUGGAUACGAAAGAGUUCUAUUUGGAAUUCUAUAUAAAAUAUUGAAUUGUUCUUUGCAUAUUGUUUUUCUUCUUGGAAGUAUGAUCAAAAGGCAAUUUAUUGUUUUUUUUUUUUUGAAAAUAAGAUUCAAGGGGAAAAUAAUUGCAAAGAAGAUUAUGCAAAUACACACUGCAUCUGAAAAAUGAAUUUAUAUACAAUACUCGUGGUUCAUAUAAGUUGAUGCAUACACACACACACAUGUGCAUGUGUGGGGGGGUCCUGUACUAUGUGAUGGUUCGACCACCACAUUAAUUAAAAAAAGAGGCAGUUAGUUGCCUUUUUAAAUUAAAAAGAUGGAGCUGCCACUGUAGACGUAGAAGAUAGAAACAGAAGAGAGGAUAAGAGAAAAAGGGAGAAAGAAUAGGCAGUAGUCUGUCUCAUUUCUUUGACUUCUAGCUUGUUCACUAUUAGAUCGGGUUGAGAUUUUGACAACAACUUCUAGACACGUUACUCUUCAUUCUAGACGUCUGGAUUGAAGAUUGAUUAUGUGAAAGCUGACCAUUUUGACAGGAAACGAGUCUGUCAGUGUUGUGAGUUUUUCUCAAACACUUAUCUCUUUAAUCUUGUUGUAUUCCAAGAAUAAAAUGUUCUUGAUAAUAUGUAUGUUGUAGUCUUUAGUUAAAUCUAAGGAAAAACAGUUAUGAACUCAUUAUUUUAAAAGUUUUUAGGUAGACUACGAUCUCGUGAUUUUUUCCUCAUCAAGUUUUUUCCACGUAAAAAUCUUGAUGUUGAUUUAUGUGAUUGUUUGCAUUAUCUUGUUCAUUGUUUGAUUCUGUUUUUUAUUGCACAAAAAGGAAAAAGGAUUAGGACUUUUGAAUUAUAUUCCGCUAAAUUGAUCCGGUUAUUUAUUCCUAGUUUUCCCAACAUAUAUAUAUAUAUAUAUAAACCUUGUUUUAGAGAAAAACUCUGAAAGUUUUCAAUGUAUAUUACGUUAAUUAUACAUGCUUAAUUAAAAUAUUUUCUCCGUAAAAUGAUUUUCGUUGCAUUAGUCGAAGUCUUCCUCGCCUGCAAUGCAACAAACAAGAGUUCCCGACUAGCACAAUUUUUUGUACCCCUUAUAGAAUCUGAUGGAGAAUUUUCAUCACCCUCAAUCAGUUGAAGUUUUAACCAAAGGACGAGGGAAAAAAAACAUGUAUAAUAACAAAAAGAUUAAUCAAGAAAACAUGACCUAAACUAAUAGCAUUGAUUAACAGUAUUAGAGCGGAACAUUAGGUAAAUUAUAGCAGACAAGAAGAUGCGGACAGUGAAAUAAGCAGUGGAACAAGAGAAAAUUAGUUGGCCUCGCAAAGAGCUUGCAGUGAAAGGUUGAGCUCCGGCCAUUGUUACUAUCACCCUUUAGAACUUGCUCUUGUGUUCAGGCCUGUGGGAAAACUCGAAAUCUAUAUGCACAAAAGCUCGCUCAACUUCAGGUAACUGCUCAAGCUUCUCUUGGAGAUCCUCGCCGAUAUUAUGUGCUUGGUUCAAAACCAUGUCUUCUGGCAAGACUAUGUCAACCUCCGCAAAGUAAUG
rnacentral:lncRNA from 1 species